ACUUGCAAGUUCAGACAACAAUGCAAUCCACGAUGGUUGAUGCAACGGAGGAGGGACAUGUGCGGUCAAUCAUGAUGGAAUUACGAAGCAGAUUACUUCCACCGGACGCAACACUGCUUCCGGCGGCGCCGAUUUCUCAUCGAUUGCACUGGUCGAGGUUUAUGGUGCACGCCACGCAUCUAUGUCCGGCUUUUCUUCUUGAUGUCUAUAGUAACUUAGCAUGUAACCAUGCAUCAGGUAUCAUAUUAUAUUCUCUGGUAAUGUCUCCAGCUCCAUCAUGAUAUUUUUCAGAGUAGGCAUCUUUCCUCGGCUGCAAAACUGGUAUGGUACAUUGGUACAUGCUCUGAUCUUCCAAGCAUCCGUAAAAUACAUCUCAGAUUUGUAAACCUAUUCAGUUUAAGAUGAUUAUGGAACAAUGGUUAUUAUCUAGAGAAGUAAAGAGACCAUGGUGAUGCUGCUGCCUAUACGGGAGAGUAUUCUUUUUCUAGAAUGCGGAGGUCCUACUCUACAAGUGUCCAGGUAUUUCUUGCUUUCAAUCUUUCUUGGUCUAAUAUAAUAUCUUAAUAAUUCCUGUAUCACACUGAAUUCCAUUGAGAUAGUUUGUUUGUUUGGUGAAAGGAUUGAGUUGGCUCUCCAUGGUAUAGAUCAACUUCUGAAAUUUAUGUCCAAUCUGAAAGUGCACUGUGUGAUUUCUGAAUUAUAUUAGUCCGCAUCUCUCUGAUGCCUCUACUCGCCACCACUCUUCCAAAUUAGCCGUUACGGAUGUCCUGCAGAUUACUCCUUCCUCUACCUCACUGCUACCGACUGCCCUUCCCCAGUCGAUGUUAGCGAGAGACACUGUAAGAUACAUCAGAUGAACAACCCUCAGUUGGGUGGUCAAAAAAUCACAGACGGAAUGUGUUGGCACAAGGCAAGUUGUCAGAUCCAUUUACAAUGCUCAGAACGGGCGAUACCCGCAGAUAUGGAAGAUUUAGGCUAAUGUGGAUGAGCAAGAGUUUGAUGGCGCCAUGGUGCAUCCUUGAUCGAAAGAUGUGUGCAUGCUAAUCAUGCAGUGGAGCAGAUGCACCAAUGUAAGUUUGAAUUAAACGACAUGAAUGUCGGCCGUUAUUGCAAUUGGGAACUAUGGAAGACACCUUCAAGCAAUUCUAUCCGAUCCCUCGCAUAAGCAUCAUGCUCAACAUUGAUCACACCAACAACGAGAGAGUAUUGUACGGCCAACGACAUGUUAGAAGACCAACAGUGGCAUCACUCAACGUUGUGUGGUGUCCAGGCACACAGUGAUGUACAAGUGAGAAGUGACAAUGUGACAACAUCUCUUCUUUCGCUCAUUGUGGAUUCAUACUGAUAAUUUUAUGAGUAAUUUCCCAUUACUCACGUUUCUAAUAGACUAAUACUCAUUAAUUA